UCUCUCCUCCUUUCUGAAGAACGAAUGCCCCCACACUGCAGCUUCACUUCCCUCCUUUCUUUCCUUCUCAAUUCAAAAUUUUGGGUGAGAAUUCGCUUUCUACGUUGCGUUGCUUCUCUGGCCUGCUCCGGGGCUGGGUCAUCUCCGCUCUUUGGCCCAAAGCACGUUGCUCCUCCGCCUUGCUCCGGCGCUGGCUCAUCUUCGCUCCUUGCCCCACAGCUCGUUGCUUCUUCGGCCUGCGUCGUUGUGUCCCUUCUUCGCCCUGCUCCGGUGUGGUUUCCCAGCGCAAGACGGCGAGGAAUGUUCUUGCUGUAAGUCGCAGACUCCAAGCGAUAAGAAGUUACAGCUCCCUCCAAUUCGGCUUCGGAUCGGCUACGUUCGCGGUUCAUAAUAGCGAGUUGAUUCGGCGAAUGCUUGCCGCGACCGGCUGCACAAGCUGUUGGUGAAGGAGAUGGAGGGGUGGACUGGCAUGUGCAGCGACAGAGGUGGAGAAAGCGAGCGGAGGAAGGUGAUGGAGGCGUCAUGCGGAAAGAUGGACAAGGAGGUUAGAGGGAAGGACGUGGACUCGUCAAUGAGGAUGGCGGAUUCGCGAGCAAUGUUGUGUCAUGGUGACGUGGGCAUGCCCUUGUCUGUUGAUCACAAGGAGACUAUUAUUUGAAGCCAUACGUGAUAGCAGAGCCAAAGAUCACGGUAAGCAAGAGAACAGAGUUGGACGACUUCCUCGUGAUAACAAGCGAUGGGUUAUGGGAUGCGCUCUCUAAUGAGGUUGUUUGCCAAGUCAUGAGGAGACACCUCGAUGGACAUAUAAAGAGGAGGUUCCCUGAGGGGCUAAGAGGAAGUAACGCCGCCGAGGCGGCUGCGGUGCUAGCCGAACUGGCCAUGGCUCAAGGUAGCCAGGACAACAUCAGCGUGAUUGCGGUCGAGCUGAAGAAACCAAACUCAAAGAGUCCUUCAAAGUUCUUUAUGGCCAGUGUUGGGCUAAUCAAUGUUCUUGUAUAAUCUAUUGUAUUGACUUCAAGUAGGUAUUAAAAUGCCAGAUCCUUCAUGU